rnacentral:rRNA from 1 species
UAAGGAAUAUUGGACAAUGGAGGCAACUCUGAUCCAGCCAUGCCGCGUGAAGGAAUAAGGCCCUAUGGGUUGUAAACUUCUUUUAGACGGGACAAAACCCCUUUACGUGUAAAGGGUUGAUGGUACUGUCAGAAUAAGAAUCGGCUACCUUCGUGCCAGCAGCCGCGGUAAGACGAAGGAUGCAAGCGUUAUCCGGAAUUGUUGGGUUUAAAGGGUGCGUAGGCGGACUAAUAAGUCAGGGGUGAAAGCCUGCAGCUUAACUGCAGAAUUGCCAUCGAUACUGUUAGUCUUGAGGUCAGUUGAGGUAGGCGGAAUGUGUCAUGUAGCGGUGAAAUGCUUAGAUAUGACACAGAACACCGAUUGCGAAGGCAGCUUGCUAAGCUGUAACUGACGCUGAGGCACGAAAGCGUGGGGAGCAAACA